rnacentral:lncRNA from 13 species
AUCUUUGUUUUAAUAAAUUCUUCCUCCAAAGCUUCAGACUUUUUUUUUUCCUCUCUGAGUAUAUAGUUCUAUCUUAGCUUAGAAGUCCUUAAAAAUGGUCCUCAGGCUCCUUGCAAUUUCUGCCACCUGAGUUCAAGCAAUUCUUCUGCCUCAGCCUUCUGAGUAGCUGGGAUUACUGGUGCCUGCCACCACACCCAGCUAAUUUUUUGUAUUUUUGGUAGAGACGGGGUUUCACUAUGUUGGCCAGGCUGGUCUCAAACUCCUAACCUCAUGAUCUGCCCACCUCAGCCUCCCAAAGUUCUGGGCUUAGAGGCUUGAGCUGCCACAUCUGCAAUUUGGCCAACUUUUGACUGUUAAAACUAAUGUUAUCAGGUUUCAGCCAGGAAAAAAAAAAAAACAUUCCUGGUAGCAUUGAACUUCUCUCUUUCUCUCUCUUAGACCAAAGGUGUCUAUCAAAUGACUAAACACCAAAAUGAAUCAACCUUUUAUGACUUAACAAUGGAUGCAAGAGGUGUCCUCAAAAGAGGGUACAAAAAGAUGCAGCCCUCUCAAGAUCCAAAACCAUUCCUAAGACAACCAAAAGAAAUGCAGAUAAUGUGCCCCCAGAGAGCUGGCAGCAGUUGCUGUAUUAGAAAUGUGAACUCAUAUUUCUGUCUUGCUAUGUAUUUGGGUCCCCACAGCCUUUCUGUUGGGCACCUGUACCUGCAGGCCCCAUUACCUACGUGCCCCAGCAAGUGGAAAGUCAAGUCAAGCAGUCAAGACACAAGGUCAAGACUUGAAUCAGAAUCAAAUUCGGAAGGUCAAUGUUCAAAGGUUACUGCUUUAACUUAUAGUGUCAAGAAAACCUGGACAAUUGCUUAGAGGCAAAAAUUAAGUCAAGAUUGGCUAAAAAACCUGCAUGCAUUACUGCAACAUUGUGGCUGAGAAUUUAAACUCAUAAAAAAUCAGGAAAGUCAAAAUUAUGAUCCUCCCAGCUAUCAUUAUUUGUUUCUUGCACACAUGAUAGUAUUUUAUGUACUAUAUUUACUGUUAUAUUUAUGUCCUUAUAUAGAACAUGCCAAGUUAUAGUUACUAGGGGAAGCAUAACUUUCCAUUUCUAACUUUCCUGAAUUUUAAUUCUUCAGCACAAUUAGCACUAGAUUUCUUUCAUUUUCUCCUCCUUUGAUUUCUUAAGGAAAAGAAAAUGUUUAUCAUCAUUAGAUAAUUACUCUGUGGAC